UUUAGCAGAGACAGGGUUUCACCAUGCUUGCCAGGCUGGUCUCGAACUCCUGACCUCAAGUGGUCUAGCUGCCUCAACCUCCCAAAGUGCUGGGAUUACAGGCUUGAGCCACUGUAUCGGUCCUGAAAUUUUAAAAUAUGACUUAUAUCCCUACCACACAGAGAUACCAAUUUUGGUAUAUUUUCUUGCAUUAAUUUUUUUCUAGUCACAGAUUUUAUUUUAUACAUGAUAUGAUCACACUGAAUAUAUAAUUUUGAUUAGAGAUUUAAACAUAUCUAUUUUGUAUUAGAAGCAUACAUCUUCUCAAGAAUAAUGUACCAUUAUUUAUUUUACUAUCACCCUUCUGUUUAACCAUUUUAUUUGUUUCCAAAAUUUUGCGACCCUAACAAAACAUGCCUGUACUUCUUUUUCCAUAAUUAUGUUUUUUAUUUAUUUAGAAACAUUUCUUGGUAAUAGAGUUGGUAGUAAUCCUAGGUUAAAGAUAUGAAUAUUUGAGGGGAUGAGGGAGUUCACUAAUAUAUAUUACAAAACUGGAACAUAUAUUUAAGAUUAGGAGUAUCAGAUACGUUCCAAAUAACAGGGUUAGUAACUUGGAUAAAAGCAAACUACAACUCAAAGACAUUAAAAUUUGUCCUGGUAGCUCUCUGAACUUUUGAUUGCUUACUUUCUUGUGCUCAUUUAUGUUCUAAAUAUUUGAGAUUCUGGAACAAGUGAUUUCUGGGAAAGAAAGAUGCUGUUUUAUAAAACACACCAUGCUAUACUUUUGCAUUCUGGUGUCUUUUAAGCAACUCAAUAGAAGACUUUUUAAUUUCGAGGAGAAACACAAUUUUUAUCUUUGUUUCCUUUAUUAAUGAGAUUAACUUUUUCUGUUACUGCAAGACUUCUUUAAUAAACUGUUUUUUUUCUAAUCACAGCUAGAAUGCAACAAAAAUACAUUAGAGAAUUACCUUUGAGAUAUCAUAAUUUAUGUGAAAUUAUUUUGAAAAGUGUUUGUUCAUGUCUUUUGCCCACUUUUUGAUGGCUUUUUUUCUUAUAUAUUUAAGUUUCUUAUAGAUGCUGUAAUUAAAUUUAAUUAUGAAGUAGAAAAAGCAGUGUAAGUUAUAUCUAGAUUUUUAGACUUUGUUGCUGUUGUGUCACCCCUUUUGAUUAAACCUGUUUGAAAAAUUGUUUAUCUCUCAUUUUACAAUGUCUGUUAAUAGAAACCUGGCUCCUUUCUCUCCACUUAUGUUACUUGCCUGUUCUAACAGGGCACAUAGUGCUGUAGAUGUAGAUGAAACAGCAUAAUCCUCAACUGCCCUCGUCAUCUCCUACUUCAACUUCUUCCAUCCAUUCAAACCCUUUAGUCGGUUUCUCAGAGCACAAAAGAUUUUGGAUGUUCAGAUUCAGGCACUUACUGAAUUUUUCUGCAUUGUAAAGGCUGGAAGAGAAAAGGUAUUUUUUUCUCUUGGAAGCUAGGAACAAUUUUUGCUCCAACAUCACGUGAAACUGAAAAAGUGGAGGUGGGGGUGGAAGAGAUUGUUACCCAGUGUGCUUCUUCCCUGGCCCAGACUGUGUUUCUAUACAAGUGGACCUCUGAGGACGUACAUUUGCCUAACAUCACUUUCUCCAACUUAGGACAACACUGGGCUUCCUGGAAGCUCAGUUCUCCUUACAGGGCAGGCCCAGACUCCCUAUUUCCAGAGAAAUUUCAGGGAUAUUGCUCAAUUGUCAACAGAAGCAAGGGAAACCCAAGCAUCUUAUAAUUUUUGUCUUUAUGGUAAUAGAUUUAGCUAGGAAAGUCAGGUUGGAUAAAUUUUGAAGGCUGCUCAGCCUUUUAUUUCAUUGCUUAUCUAAGCAACUUAACUUCUUUUGUUUUUAAAUUUAACUUUUAUUUUAAGUUCAGGGAUACAUGUACAUCUAGUUACUCAACUAAUGCACACAGUCUGCCUUAUCAGCCCCAACCUGAUGUCAUAAUGUAGCUUCAACGUAUUACUCUCAGAAUUUAGAUCUUCAUCCCAUUCUUCUUUCCUGAGCCCUUAGUUUAUACCCACGACUGCUUAGAGAUGUGUAGAUGCCACAUAGAAGUCUUAAAUAUCCUUGAACUCUAUGUUCCAACAGCAAACACUUUGGAUUUGCUUUUUAGCCACAGUCCUCAAACCUGCUCUUUUCUUUUGAAUAUCAAUUUCAAUAAAUUGUGCUAACAUCAACCCAGUCUCCUAUAUUAUUCUAGAUUCUUUUUCUUCACUCCUAUUUGUUUCUAAACUAAUUGUCGUUUAUUAAAAUUAUCAGUUCUACCUUUCAGCAGUGCCUAAGUCUAUCCAGACACUGAUUUGGUUCAAACCUCACCAUUUUAAAGAGCCAGCUUAUGAACUACCCCUGCUCUAAACAGGCUAUCCUAUCCAGCAAGAUCACUCAAUCCUGUGAACAGCCAAUGCCAUUCCAAGGAGAAGGCAUAUUAACUCAGAAAAUGCUGACACACCUGACCUUUCAUCCCUGCCACUAGUAGUUCUACAGAAGACCAGUGUGCAUGCAAACAAUUCACUUACAAGCAAGAAUUCCUACAAGUGUAAUAUAGUUUUGUGUAAAGUAUUAGUGAUAGAAUAUGUAUUUACAAAUUCCUUGGGAGGGGUUGCAAACUGGAAUGACCACAAGGUCCAGCCAGUGAUGGAGUGGGAACUGUGGGCAAGAGGAGAUGCCUUGUGGAGUCCAAAGUUGGCAGUGACUGUUCAGCACCAGACACAUUGCCAUAUGGGAACUUGGGAUUCAGGUGGUUGGGUCUCCUGCAUUUUGAGAGAAGCUAGAAAUGUCUUGGUAUUUAAAUGUGACAACUAACAUAGGAAUUUUUUUUUUUUUUUAAAAAACAUGAUGAAGUCAAGUGUAUACAGGUUUUGUUUUAAGGGACUUAGAAAUAAGCAAGAGCUUCAGAAUGGUAUCCUGGGUCAGCUCUUCUAUUUUAAUUAACUUAAUAUCUACUACCAAACCCAUGUGAAACAUUUAAAGAUUAGAGAGUUGGGGUAUUAACAUCUCUGGUGUGCAUUCAGAAGUGUAUAUUAGCUAGGCAGACUGAUCUCAAUAUACAUUAAGACACUAUUGCUGUGGAAAUUGUCUGGAAAUUGAAAUAUUUCCAAAGUCACUUCGUGGAGCAUUAUUUAGGGCUAAACAGAACAUGAGAAUCUCAGUUUUCCUCAAAGUUCUUUGUAGAAUAAUCUUAGUUAUAUUUCCAAAAUUAUAUUUGAUACUGGUUAAUAAAGGUAAAUGCUGCUAUCUGAACUCA